GAUGAACGCUGGCGGCGUGCCUAAUACAUGCAAGUCGAGCGAACAGACGAGGAGCUUGCUCCUCUGACGUUAGCGGCGGACGGGUGAGUAACACGUGGAUAACCUACCUAUAAGACUGGGAUAACUUCGGGAAACCGGAGCUAAUACCGGAUAAUAUAUUGAACCGCAUGGUUCAAUAGUGAAAGACGGUUUUGCUGUCACUUAUAGAUGGAUCCGCGCCGCAUUAGCUAGUUGGUAAGGUAACGGCUUACCAAGGCAACGAUGCGUAGCCGACCUGAGAGGGUGAUCAGCCACACUGGAACUGAGACACGGUCCAGACUCCUACGGGAGGCAGCAGUAGGGAAUCUUGCACAAUGGGCGAAAGCCUGACGGAGCAAUGCCGCGUGAGUGAUGAAGGUCUUCGGGUUGUAAAACUCUGUUGUUAGGAAAGAAAAACAGUAGAAGUAAACAUGCAUGUCUUGACGGUACCUAAACAGAAAGCACCGGCUAACUACGUG
rnacentral:rRNA from 1 species